rnacentral:misc_RNA from 1 species
CGACUGCCUUAAAAUCCCGAAUGAUCACCUUAUCCACCCCUUGUGCUUCCUUUACAAUAUUAAAAUCCUUCAACACACGUUCCCCCUGCACAUAAACAUCAAAUAUGCGACUCCCAAGACCAUAGAAGGAUCUCCAAGACUGUAAUAGGAGCUAUUAUCCCUGAGUACUAUCUCUGCAAAGUGAAGCUUCACAUUGUAAUUCCCAUUCACUAAACAACGCACAUAGUACGUAAGGGAGAGAGGUGAGAGACGUGCUCUUGUGUACAAUUCAGAAUUCUCCAUCCUAAGGAUGGAUAAGUUUUGUGCUAUGUAGUCACUUGCAGAUCUAUUUUUGUCCCAGAAAUGUCCAGUAUUACUAAUUUCCCAACUCUCCCUAGUGGGAACAUAUUUUGCUGCAGCUCCUGACUCUUCAUCUGCUACGUAGCUGAUGUCUCCAAUGUUGGUUGCACCUCCACCACAAUUUAUAUGCAAUGAAUAUCUGUCUUCUGAACAAGCAAAGUUUUUCAGGCACUCGACAACAGCUUUUGAGUUAUUCCCUCCCGAAGUGCUUUUAAACAAAUUCAACGUAUCUCGACAAGUAGUUGGCAAUGAGCUUUCUGUAAAAUUAUUGCGAGAAAGGUCUAUUUCAGCACGAGUAUUUCCAUUCUUGAGCCAGUCUGGGAUGGGUCCAGAGAGCAAGUUACUUGUCAAAUACCUAUUUAUCAGGCAGCAUCAUGUCAUUUUAUUAGACACAUCAUUUUAAAUUUGGUGGAGAGCAAGGUUAAGACAAGCA